CGAGAGGCGGCCGCCACGGCUGCCAGAGUCGCAGCAGUGGUGACAGCUGGAAGUCGCGUCGCCCCUGUGUGUGAAGCGAAGCCCCCUGAGCUCCGCAUCAUCCGACAAUACGGCGCUUCCGCCUUGGCAUUUCAAAGAAUCUAACUCUAACACUAGAUGGCAGGAACAAGCUAGAGUGCGUACAGAGGAAGGAGCUGGACCAGAGCAGAUUGGAAACAGGAGUGAGAAGUGAGGUCAAUCCUUACUGUACAGUAAGUGUUCUAUUACAACCCAACUGGAGGAGAGAUGACAUCUUCCCAAACAACAUUUUAUAUGGGAUGUGAAGUAAUAAAACAGGGUUUUUAGCAGCUCUUACAGCAUUUCUGUGAAUUGGUUGGCUUUCAACAUAUUUUUGAGUUUAACCUGUGAUUUGCAAUUGUCUUUUCUAUAACCAAUAAAAAGAUGA